rnacentral:rRNA from 1 species
AAUGAACGCUGGCGGCAUGCCUAACACAUGCAAGUCGAACGAGACCUUCGGGUCUAGUGGCGCACGGGUGCGUAACGCGUGGGAAUCUGCCCUUGGGUUCGGAAUAACUCGCCGAAAGGCGUGCUAAUACCGGAUGAUGACGUAAGUCCAAAGAUUUAUCGCCCAAGGAUGAGCCCGCGUAGGAUUAGCUAGUUGGUGGGGUAAAGGCCCACCAAGGCGACGAUCCUUAGCUGGUCUGAGAGGAUGAUCAGCCACACUGGGACUGAGACACGGCCCAGACUCCUACGGGAGGCAGCAGUGGGGAAUAUUGGACAAUGGGCGAAAGCUUGAUCCAGCAAUGCCGCGUGAGUGAUGAAGGCCUUAGGGUUGUAAAGCUCUUUUACCCGGGAUGAUAAUGACAGUACCGGGAGAAUAAGCCCCGGCUAACUCCGUGCCAGCCGCCGCCGUAA